rnacentral:rRNA from 1 species
GGGCAAGUCUGGUGCCAGCAGCCGCGGUAAUUCCAGCUCCAAUAGCGUAUAUUAAAGUUGUUGCAGUUAAAAAGCUCGUAGUUGAACCUCGGGAUCAAUGGGUCGGUCAUGCCAAUGGUAUGUACUGGCCUCAUUGGUUCUCACCUUCUAAGGAACCAUGAUGUCAUUCAUUUGAUGUUGUGGGGAAUUAGGACUGUUACCUUGAAAAAAUUAGAGUGUUUAAAGCAGGCUAACGCUUGAAUACAUUAGCAUGGAAUAAUGAAAUAGGACACCGCAUUCUAUUUUGUUGGUUUCUAGGAUCGAUGUAAUGAUUAAUAGGGAUAGUUGGGGGCAUUAGUAUUCAAUUGUCAGAGGUGAAAUUCUUGGAUUUAUUGAAGACUAACUACUGCGAAAGCAUUUGCCAAGGAUGUUUUCAUUAAUCAAGAACGAAAGUUAGGGGAUCGAAGACGAUCAGAUACCGUCGUAGUCUUAACCAUAAACUAUGCCGACUAGGGAUCGGAUGAUGUUGAUUUUUUAAUGACUCAUUCGGCGCCUUACGGGAAACA